AUUGUUGUGAUGUUAAGUUUAGAUUUGCUUCCUUUUCUGGAUGGAACCACACAUCAUGAGUCAGAGUUUCAGGUGUGAGGAUUCUUGGAGUUUGUUCCACUUGGUGCCUCUGAUCAAUGCUGUGCUGUCGGCUGUGCUGUUGAAGAUCUCCCGCCUGUUAAAGCAGCAGCAGCAGCAGGCUGAAGGUUCACAUUGUUCAGAUGCAGGACUUUAACUCAAGUAUAUUCACAGUGUUCUCCAUGAACCCAGACACAGCUUCACUGGCACAUGGUGAUGUAUUUACAAUCCAGGAGAGAGAAUGUGACGUGAACAAACUCAUUUUAGGGGAACAUUAUAUCUGCUCAGUGAAGCUGUGUUCACAAGAACGUGUCCCAUAAAAACACUCUCUGACUUUCCUUCCUUUUCAUUGACUGAUCUGCUGCUUUUACUUUCUCUCAGCCUGUCAUCACAUCAUGUGGAGGGAUAAAUGUGUGUCACUUGUUGUGUUUGUGUUGCAGUCUGAGCCACAACCACAUCACAGAUGCUUCCACAGAUGUGUUGCUGCAGCUGCUCUCCGUGGACUCGUCCAUCGACGCCGUGCGACUCUUCAGCAACAACAUCGUGGACACGACACCCUUUAAGAAACACAAGCAGGUUGAGGUGUGGUGAACCAGUCAGGUGGUCAUCAGGGAGGAGCUGCUGGAUGAUCAGAUGAAAACAUUGGUCGGAGUGCAGCCGCUCAGACUGAUCAUCAGGAGUGUGUGAGAGCAGGACGGUCCUUUAAACAGGCUUUGAUUUUUACCACCUUAGAGUGUCUUUGUUUUUAUAGAAUGAAGGAGACCACACUUUAUGGAGGCAAAGAGCAGCCAGCAGUGUUUUCUAAAGCUUCACGAUGCGUCUGUUGUUUCACAGGAUUGGUUUGUGGAGCUCAUAUUUAUGUUUGGUACCAUGUAAUGAUCAUCCGGACGUCUCUGCAUCUGAAAUGAUUCUUAUUGUGACAAAACAAAGAGACCAUAGCUGUUGCUGCUGCCACCAGGCUGAACUUCUGUUCUUCUGCUUCAGUGAUAACUGUAUUUAUUCCUGUUUGUGCGUUUCAGUCGAGGCACAUUAAAAUGACACUGAUGACAGCAGCACUUCGUUCAGGAGGAAACUGUUUGGUACCUUCACACACCUGCAAGAAAUCAUCAUCAGACUGUGAAGAUGUGUUUGAUUUGAAAUGAAGCAGCACCACAGAUAAUGUGUCUUCCUGUGCUGCUUCUCUCCUCUUUAUAUUUGACAAUGUUGUGAUUUCUGUCAUGAAGCAUCUCUGACAGCUCGCUGCAGUUCUUCAGUGUCUUCUUCAUGUGAUCCAGAGGGACUGAGAUCAGGACGUGGAAGCUCAUCAUGUUCCUGUUUCCUCUGAAUUCAUAAAAACAUCAAAGUCACAAGUUCAUCACAUCACAUGUUGUCAUGGCAGCCAUGGAAGGAAUCAACAUACGUUUUAUUUUUGUACAAUAUUUAACUGAUGAGCAGCUGGUGGAACAAUAAAAAUAAUGAGAGCAAGUGUGA